GGGGAUAUAGCUCAGUUGGUAGAGUGCUUGCCCAGCAUACACAAGUCCCUGGGUUCAAUCCCCAGCACCACCA
rnacentral:tRNA from 1 species